UUCCUGUAUGAUGAUACUUGCACACGUCUUACGCCUCGUGUCAAUGCCAGACCUGAAAAGGUGAACCCACUGGUGUUGCCUUGGCAAUAAGGGGAUGACCUGUUGGGGUUACCAACAGUCUGAAUGGAAA
ensembl:snoRNA SNORD22 Small nucleolar RNA SNORD22